GUUUCAGGUGGAAAGGAAAUCCAGUUCCUGUGACUCCAUCUUGUUCAGAACUGAAGUCCCAUUGCUUCACGUAUCACAGCAGGCAGAAGACUUGGUAGAGAACAUGGCAUAUGUGGUUUCAUCCUCCCUCCAUAGAGACUGAAGAACUUCCAAACUGCAAAUCUCUGGUGAAUGGAAACAACAAGGAAGUGAACCAAAAAUCAGACCCUCACAUAGAAGGGAUGUAGAAACCAGCCACAACUCAGUCCUACGCACUGGAAAACUGGUGGUGGGUUGACAAGAAAUUAUGUUUACACUUCAAGAAGGACACUUCAAUGUCUUCAGAAUCUGAGCUGGACCUCCAGCUAACUCAGGGGUAGAGGACGGAACAGAGGACCCCAAACAAACCCAAACUCUGAUGGAACCACCUCAACACUGAGCCGGGACACCACCCCUUCAGCCUAGAAAGAGGAGAGAGCCACGGCGGAAGAGACGCUGCAAAUGCCCGCUCACACGGGAGCGAGAGUGCUGUAUCCUGAGGAAGAACCUACGUUCAACUUGAAACUAUGGAGGAUGGAAACUGAGAGGUUUUACUAAACUCCAUGGGAGAGCAAAACAAGGCAAGACCUGAAACUGAAUUUUCAACGCCUCUCUGUGGAGUAUCUUUUGAUUCUGGGCAAUCACUUUGAGAUGGCUGGCUGGGGGUCAGAAGAGACGUCUGUGACUGUGGAACUGAACUAAUUUCUCUGGUACAAGGUGAUAGAGGGGUGGAGAAGGAUCCAACUCAACCUUUAGGUUUCCUGUGUACCAUGGAGUCCAGCCAGCAACAAGACACAGCAUCUCCGAAGCCACCAGAGACAAGAUCACUGUCCAAGAGAAACAUAAGCCUCUCAUAUAAUCGCCUGCUGGUAUAUUUUGGCUUGUGAAGCCUAACUAGUUUGCGAAGGCGUGCCAACGAGCAUGGCAUUUGCUUGUGUGGACAGACUAAGGAUAAAGUGGUCAAAGGAUAAGAAGGUGAUGACUAGAAGAACAAAGAUGUCAUAGGAGCCAGACUGAUAAUAACAGCAGGAGUUCUGCAGGACACAGAAAAUAUGACUGUCUCCUCAGGAGAUGGGAUUCAGUGUUCAAGAAGAUAAACAAGGUCCCUGUUCUCAUAGAAGGAUCUGGACAAUGAAUGAGCCUUCAAACUUGGACAGGAAUUACACCAUCAGCUCUUCUGGGUCUCCAAUUGCAGAUGGCAGAUCACAGGACUUCUCAGUCUUCAUAAUCACAUAAAUUUCACCAGUACAGACGGCCCCUGACUGAUGAUGGUUUGACUUAUGAUUUUUUUCUACCUUAGUGCAAAAGUGA